rnacentral:snRNA from 1 species
GGAUGCGAGCGAGAUCCUGCUACAACCUUGUCACUCCAGUGACUGCCAGGAUUGACAUGGCUGAUCCAGUUGGUGGGUGUGCUGAAUUGCAUCCCUUCCUGUGUAUCCUUCCAAAGCUGCACACGUGGUUACAGAGAAUGACCUCCCACAAUAGAGGAGGACUGCUCUUCCACCAAAGUUACAUAAGUAAGUGGCUCUAUCCCCUGUUAGACCUUCCAAAUGACCUUACAACACACUGAUAUGCUCUAAAGCCUGAAAAUUGUUUCGAUGAAAAAAAGGACAAAUAAAUGUAAUUACAGUUGGUUGUCAU